rnacentral:lncRNA from 1 species
GAGCUGCCAAGUAGGGCUGGAAAGAGACACUCGGCAGGUAGAUCUUGCCGUAACAAGGAGAAGAAACUCAUGGAUUUCACCUAAGACCAGAGAAGGGAACAUUCCCAAGAGACUUGGAGGUUCCAUCUCUCAAGCAACCUGAAAUUAGCAGGGAUUUCUCCUGCGGCUUUGCCAUGAUGUGGGGAAAAGGGAAGUGGUUUUGACGCAAGGGACAGAGGGAGUGUUGGCGGUGGCAGGGGGAGCAGGGGCAGCAGCUCACUUACGGGUUAAAACCACCCUGGAGAGGCCCAGCUCUCUGAAGUUCGACAUCAGAAUAUACAUUCGAGAAUUCCCGACCGAGGCCAUCUGCUCUGCAGGCAGAAAG